ACAGCCCAUCCUGGAAAUUACUGACUUAAACAUCCAUACUACAUAACUCCAAAAGACCAAAACGAUAACAAGAAUAUAUUGAUCGUAGUUACGAAGUGGUGGACAAAAGAUUCUCUGCAUCAAACUUGGUCUUGUUGAUUCUGUUCAUCGAGACUUUUCAAAAUGGCGCCCAUGGAAAUGCCUGAUGAGCAAUGCAAAUUUCCCAAGUUAAUUAAUCAUCAUGCUAUCAUUAUAUAGAUAUACUGAUCUUCACUGAUAGUCGUAUAGAAAGGAAGUACCAGCCAACUUCAUUCAAACCACAAUUACUUACAAAUUACAAUGGAAUGCGUCUCUUCGUCAGAAUCCUGGUUAACAAACUAAACAAGUUAAGUUUUAUUCAUAGGUAUCAUCAAAACAAAGAGAAAAGGGGUGAUAUAAUUGAUAUAUAUAUAUAUAUAUAUAUAUAUAAACCUUAACCUGCAUCACUUUCU
rnacentral:lncRNA from 1 species